rnacentral:rRNA from 1 species
GGGGGUGCUUGCACCCCGCUGACGAGCGGCGGACGGGUGAGUAAUGCAUAGGAAAUUGCCCAGUAGUGGGGGAUAGCCCGGGGAAACCCGGAUUAAUACCGCAUACGUCCUUCGGGAGAAAGCAGGGGAUCUUCGGACCUUGCGCUAUUGGAUGUGCCUAUGUCGGAUUAGCUAGUUGGUGGGGUAAAGGCCUACCAAGGCGACGAUCCGUAGCUGGUCUGAGAGGAUGAUCAGCCACAUCGGGACUGAGACACGGCCCGAACUCCUACGGGAGGCAGCAGUGGGGAAUAUUGGACAAUGGGGGCAACCCUGAUCCAGCCAUGCCGCGUGUGUGAAGAAGGCUUUCGGGUUGUAAAGCACUUUCAGUGAGGAGGAAAACCUUAUGGUUAAUACCCAUGAGGCUUGACGUUACUCACAGAAGAAGCACCGGCUAACUCCGUGCCAGCAGCCGCGGUAAUACGGAGGGUGCAAGCGUUAAUCGGAAUUACUGGGCGUAAAGCGCGCGUAGGUGGUUUGAUAAGCGAGAUGUGAAAGCCCCGGGCUUAACCUGGGAACGGCAUUUCGAACUGUCAGGCUAGAGUAUGGUAGAGGGUAGUGGAAUUUCCUGUGUAGCGGUGAAAUGCGUAGAUAUAGGAAGGAACACCAGUGGCGAAGGCGGCUACCUGGACCAAUACUGACACUGAGGUGCGAAAGCGUGGGGGAGCAAACAGGAU